rnacentral:rRNA from 1 species
UACGGAGGGGGCAAGCGUUGUUCGGAAUUACUGGGCGUAAAGGGCUUGUAGGUGGCCAACUAAGUCAGCCGUGAAAUCCCUCGGCUUAACCGGGGAACUGCGUCUGAUACUGGAUGGCUUGAGUGUGGGAGAGGGAUGCGGAAUUCCAGGUGUAGCGGUGAAAUGCGUAGAUAUCUGGAGGAACACCGGUGGCGAAGGCGGCAUCCUGGAGCAUUACUGACACUGAAAAGAGAAAGACAGGGGAGAAAACGAG